AUUCCAAUGAAGAACACAUCUAGAACUGCAAAUAUGAAGUACAUUAUAAAGAUAGACAAUACAAUAUGUCAGGAAAAACAGCAAAAUGAAAAACAACCGCGACGAAGACUUUGGCUUUUAUUGGUUGUAGUGUUGUUUCUUAUCGCGUCCAUUGGCGUUUCCGCUGGGUUAUCUUUCGUGUUGAUCAAAGAUAAUAAACAAACCAUUCAACAAGGAACCUUAGAAACAACAACGCAAUUUUCUACCACCACAACAAUAC